GUGAGUGUAGCUCAGCUGGCAGAGCACCGGAUUGUGGCUCCGGUGGUCGAGGGUUCAAAUCCCUUCACUCACCCCA
rnacentral:tRNA from 1 species